AUUGAACGCUGGCGGCAGGCCUAACACAUGCAAGUCGAGCGGAUGAGUGGAGCUUGCUCCAUGAUUCAGCGGCGGACGGGUGAGUAAUGCCUAGGAAUCUGCCUGGUAGUGGGGGACAACGUUUCGAAAGGAACGCUAAUACCGCAUACGUCCUACGGGAGAAAGUGGGGGAUCUUCGGACCUCACGCUAUCAGAUGAGCCUAGGUCGGAUUAGCUAGUUGGUGAGGUAAAGGCUCACCAAGGCUACGAUCCGUAACUUGUCUGAGAGGAUGAUCAGUCACACUGGAACUGAGACACGGACCAUACUCCUACGGGAGGCAGCAGUUGGGAAUACUGGACAAUGGGCGAAAGCCUGAUCCGGCCAUGCCGCGUGUGUGAAGAAGGUCUUCGGAUUGUAAAGCACUUUAAGUGGGGAGGAAGGGCAGUAAGUUAAUCCCUUGCUGUUUUGACGUUACCAACAGAAUAAGCGCCGGCUAACUUCGUGCCAGCAGCCGCCGUAACAC
rnacentral:rRNA from 1 species